CUAGUUUCCUCUUCAUAUUCUGUAAAGGGCAAGAAUGCGAGAAUAAGUGGAAAAACCUUCGAGAUAAAUAUAGGAGGGAAAAGAAGAAAAGGGCAGAAUUGAAAUCUGGUGCGGCGGCAAGUCAUCGGGUUGAGUGGAGCCUUAUGAGAUCCUUAGAGUUCCUUGAACCGUUUACAGCCAUGAGGAGUACAACAUCAAACCUGCCAAUGCCGGAUACACCAUCUUCGAGUGAUGUUGAUGUUACAUUGGAAGCGGUAUCAGCAGAUGAAACAGACCAAUUUCAA